rnacentral:rRNA from 1 species
GUUAGACGGGGCCCGCACAAGCGGUGGAGUAUGUGGUUUAAUUCGACGCAACGCGCAGAACCUUACCUAGACUUGACAUCCCGGGAUUUCUGGAAACAGAGAAGUGCUUUAGCAAUAAAGAACCCGGUGACAGGUGCUGCAUGGCUGUCGUCAGCUCGUGUCGUGAGAUGUUGGGUUAAGUCCCGCAACGAGCGCAACCCUCGCCUUUAGUUGCCAUCAUUCAGUUGGGCACUCUAGCGAGACUGCCGGUAAUAAACCGGAGGAAGGUGGGGAUGACGUCAAAUCAUCAUGCCCCUUAUGACCUGGGCUACACACGUGCUACAAUGGUUGGUACAACGAGUUGCGAGUCGGUGACGGCGAGCUAAUCUCUUAAAGCCAAUCUCAGUUCGGAUUGUAGGCUGCAACUCGCCUACAUGAAGUCGGAAUCGCUAGUAAUCGCGGAUCAGCACGCCGCGGUGAAUACGUUCCCGGGCCUU